AUUCCCAGUCACCCACUCACUCAGAAAGCCGGGAGUCAUCGGACACCUUGCUGCAGGCAGAGCUCAGAGGAUCUUGGCAUCACCCACCAAAGUUAGCUGAAAGCAGGGCACUCCUGGAUAAAGCAGCUUCACUCAACUCUGGGGAAUGCUACCAUUUUUUUUCCAAAGUAGAAAGGAAGCACUUCUGAGCCAGUGACCACUGAAAGAGUAAAACGACAAGGAAUAUCGGCCUGAAUUCUCUUCCCAAGAAGAAAGAAAGCACACCAACGCAGGCAUUUGUCUUCUGUCCAUGGUGCUGAAGUUUAUUCACUUUCAAACCACUUUCAGUAACAGGUCUGCGUUGGACACGGCAUUGUACAUGGGAUUAGCUCUGG
rnacentral:antisense_RNA from 1 species